rnacentral:rRNA from 1 species
AGCGGCGGAUGGGUGAGUAACACGUGGGGAACCUGCCCCUAGUCUGGGAUACCAUUUGGAAACAGGUGCUAAUACCGGAUAAUAAAGCAGAUCGCAUGAUCAGCUUUUGAAAGGCAGCGUAAGCUGUCGCUAAGGGAUGGCCCCGCGGUGCAUUAGCUAGUUGGUAAGGUAACGGCUUACCAAGGCGACGAUGCAUAGCCGAGUUGAGAGACUGAUCGGCCACAUUGGGACUGAGACACGGCCCAAACUCCUACGGGAGGCAGCAGUAGGGAAUCUUCCACAAUGGACGCAAGUCUGAUGGAGCAACGCCGCGUGGGUGAAGAAGGUUUUCGGAUCGUAAAGCUCUGUUGUUGGUGAAGAAGGAUAGAGGUAGUAACUGGCCUUUAUUUGACGGUAAUCAACCAGAAAGUCACGGCUAACUACGUGCCAGCAGCCGCGGUAAUACGUAGGUGGCAAGCGUUGUCCGGAUUUAUUGGGCGUAAAGCGAGCGCAGGCGGAAAAAUAAGUCUAAUGUGAAAGCCCUCGGCUUAACCGAGGAACUGCAUCGGAAACUGUUUUUCUUGAGUGCAGAAGAGGAGAGUGGAACUCCAUGUGUAGCGGUGGAAUGCGUAGAUAUAUGGAAGAACACCAGUGGCGAACGCGGCUCUCUGGUCUGCAACUGACGCUGAGGCUCGAAAGCAUGGGUAGCGAACAGGAUUAGAUACCCUGGUAGUCCAUGCCGUAAACGAUGAGU